UACAGAGGUCUCAAGCGUUGUUCGGAUUCACUGGGCGUAAAGGGUGUGUAGGUGGCGCCGUAAGUCGGGUGUGAAAUUUCGGAGCUUAACUCCGAAACUGCAUUCGAUACUGCGGUGCUUGAGGACUGGAGAGGAGACUGGAAUUUACGGUGUAGCGGUGAAAUGCGUAGAUAUCGUAAGGAAGACCAGUGGCGAAGGCGGGUCUCUGGACAGUUCCUGACGCUGAGGCACGAAGGUCAGGGGAGCAAACGGG
rnacentral:rRNA from 1 species